CAGUCGCCGCGGUAAUACGUAGGUGGCAAGCGUUAUCCGGAAUUAUUGGGCGUAAAGCGCGCGUAGGCGGUUUUUCAAGUCUGAUGUGAAAGCCCACGGCUCAACCGUGGAGGGUCAUGGAAACUGGAAAACUUGAGUGCAGAAGAGGAAAGUGGAAUUCCAUGUGUAACGGUGAAAUGCGCAGAGAUAUGGAGGAACACCAGUGGCGAAGGCGACUUUCUGGUCUGUAACUGACGCUGAUGUGCGAAAGCGUGGGGAUCAAACAGGAUUAGAUACCCCCGUAGUCCCUGUCUCUUAUACA
rnacentral:rRNA from 1 species